UCUGUAACUGUCAACAAUCGGCCUGUCAACUUGGAUCGAGUUUGAGUGGUUAACAGGUUGCUUAAUUUAUGUAUUUUUGUAUUUUUUAGGUGACUGGCGAUCGUCUACUGACGAAACGACUUGAAAAAGUCGAGGAAGUCGUGAUAAGUCUUGUGACAGGGCUGAACAGCUUGAAAGAGGAAGUUUCGAAGUUGAAUUCAAAAUUAAGAACUUAUGAAUAUGAAGGCGACAGUGAUCAUGACAACUCCGAAGACACAAAUGGCCACAGCAUGACAACUCUAAUAGCCACAACUAAAGAAGCCCAGAAACCUUCCAUUGCUGUCAGAGACCUGGCAGUCAAGCUUUUUAGUGAGGAAGAAUUGACAAAAUGCAGCGUUCGAGGCAGAAAAACCCACAAGAAUCUUG